rnacentral:rRNA from 1 species
UACGGAGGAUGCAAGCGUUAUCCGGAUUCAUUGGGUUUAAAGGGUGCGUAGGCGGGCGUAUUAAGUCAGUGGUGAAAUACCUGCAGCUUAACUGCAGAACUGCCGUUGAUACUGAUAGUCUUGAGUUUGGUUAAGGUAGGCGGAAUGUGUAAUGUAGCGGUGAAAUGCUUAGAUAUUACACAGAACACCAAUUGCGUAGGCAGCUUACUGAGCCGACACUGACGCUAGGCACGAAAGCGUGGGGAGUCAAACAGGAUUA